rnacentral:rRNA from 1 species
GGUUGCGAUCAUACCAGCAAUAAUGCACCGGAUCCCAUCAGAACUCCGCAGUUAAGCGUGCUUGGGCGAGAGUAGUACUAGGAUGGGUGACCCCCUGGGAAGUCCUCGUGUUGCAACUCC